rnacentral:rRNA from 1 species
AACGAACGCUGGCGGCAUGCCUAACACAUGCAAGUCGAACGAGGCCCUUCGGGGUUUAGUGGCGCACGGGUGCGUAACGCGUGGGAAUCUGCCCUUUGGUUCGGAAUAACAGCUGGAAACGGCUGCUAAUACCGGAUGAUGACGAGAGUCCAAAGAUUUAUCGCCAGAGGAUGAGCCCGUGUUGGAUUAGGUAGUUGGUGGGGUAAAGGCCUACCAAGCCGACGAUCCAUAGCUGGUCUGAGAGGAUGAUCAGCCACACUGGGACUGAGACACGGCCCAGACUCCUACGGGAGGCAGCAGUGGGGAAUAUUGGACAAUGGGCGCAAGCCUGAUCCAGCAAUGCCGCGUGAGUGAUGAAGGCCCUAGGGUUGUAAAGCUCUUUUACCCGGGAAGAUAAUGACUGUACCGGGAGAAUAAGCCCCGGCUAACUCCGUG